CAAUAAUGACUCUCGGCAACGGAUAUCUAGGCUCUUGCAUCGAUGAAGAACGUAGCGAAAUGCGAUACUUGGUGUGAAUUGCAGAAUCCCGUGAACCAUCGAGUCUUUGAACGCAAGUUGCGCCCGAAGCCUUCUGGCCGAGGGCACGCCUGCCUGGG
rnacentral:rRNA from 1 species